GGAUGAGGUUAUAAGUGGGUUUGGGUAGCAGGUGGAUGUUAGCACAGUGGGGGUCCAGAGAGGAAGCUCAGAGUGGGAGACAGAGUGAAAAAAAUGGAUGGUGAUGAAGGAGAAAGGGAGGGAGGCGUUGAUGCGGCGCCUCCUCUUGCCUUAUAGGGGGUCCAGCAUCCGCGUCUUGGCACCACGUUCUAAUAAAGCACAGAUGAGCCAAAGCUGUCAGGAUCCCGGUCCUGCCACUGAGCCUUAUCUUGAAAAUGCAGGUAAGUAAUGAAGGUGGUGUGGUGCUCUGCGUGGAGGAGGUGGACAAGAGAUGAUAGAUCUUAAUGAGCUGUGCUCUGUCUCUGUUUCUACCGUGAAGGGAUAUUACAUUUGCUCAUCUCUUUUACGAUACGAUAAUGAGGGAGAGGAAAAAGGAGGUCGGGAAGCUUCCUGCUGACCUCAAGUGUCUCCUUCUCUCCUCUUUUAUGACUCCUUAAAAUUCUUCCAAGUUAAAGACAAUGUCAGGAAACAUUCAGCUACAUCUACACUUACAGAUUAAAAUUGAUUUAAGAGAUGCUGACACCCCUCUCCCUCUGUCUUUCAUGCAAUCCUGUCUCCUCUUUUUUUUGCCUUGCAUCUGACGUUUCACAAAAUGUGCUGACAGCUGUGAUCCCCGCAGCUUUAACAACAGGUGUGGGGAGAUUAUUUAGAGUUUGAAAGCUUGCCCAGAUUCUGUUUUCUUCAGCAGAAAGAAGACAAUAGAAAACUGAGCCGAGAGUGGGAGGUGUGAAGGAUAAAUUAAAAAGUGAAAAGAAGGUUUGAAGUCUGAUUUGGUCUAGUUUUUGAGAUGUUGUAGCAGCAGCCAUCCUGCUGGACAAGCUCCUCCUUUAAACCUCGGAGAGCUGCAGAAAUGUCAGUAUCAGUGUGCUUAAGAGAGGAAGAUAAGAUCAGGAUUUAUGAGGACUGAAUAUAAACUUAUCUCCCUCUGAGACAGCGGGUGUUUUCUUGCUGAGGUAUCAGUUAUUUUCUCAGACAUGGCGAAUACUGACAUUUGUCACUAUGUGUGUUUUAAUAUCUCAGUAGUGGACAACCAAACCUCCAGCUGGAGAUCCAGAGCUGAGCUGUGAUUUCUUAACAUCUUCACUUCUGAUACUGAAUAUGCGAUUAUUAACUUUUGAUCAUUUCUGCUUUUCCAAAAAAAUUCAAAAACAGGAUUUCUGUUUGAUUUUGAUUAACAGCGAUUAUAUUAAUUUUCUCUUUUUAAAGUUUCUGCAGCAUCUGACAUAUUGCAAAAGUCGAUCAUGUUUCACCUGAGGGACCGAGCAGCAGUCGUAUGUCUUGUUGACUGCUAAAGCGUGGACAUGUGAGCUGUGGAGGUCUCUUUAUAGUAUGGUAACACUUCCCAGAGGAGCAUGUCAGCAAGCCAUGUUGGCCUCGGCUGACUCUGGCUGGGACAGUGAGAGACAGAGAUCUCCAGUGGGCCAUAAUCCUGCCUGAUAUGUGGUAAUUGUUUGGGGAACUGGAUAUCCUCUGCCUGUCACAGCAGCAGCCUCAGAGAUCCAGAGGCGACUGUACAGAAUGAAUAUGAAACACUGACUUACAGUCCAGAACCAGAACUGCAUUAAAUCAAAGCAAAUCCACUAUGGACCCCUUCUCUAUAAUUCAUAAAUGAAAGACUGUUUAAGUGUGCUUAUAGACUUGUACGUGACAUUAAAGCUCCUGUAGGGAGUUUUUUGAUAUCUAAUAAUAGACUGAAAUUCAUAUGGUCGCCUUUCAUGGUAUUGUAUUCCCAGUUAUUCCCAGUAGAGCUCUGAGAUCUACUGACUCAGGUCAGAUUGUGGAGCACAGAGUUCAAACCAGACACUUUUAAAUCCAGUUUAAAAACAUUUCUCUUUUCAUGUGCUGAUGGCUGAGCUCUUUUUAAUAGCUUUAAAAUUUAUCUAUUACUCCUGCUUUUAACUGUUUUUUUGUUGUUGUUUGUAAUUAUGCUGUUCUUU